rnacentral:lncRNA from 1 species
CAGGUUCGUGCUCGGCCCUCUCUGUCCUGCUCUGAUUCUGCUCACGACUGAAAUACAGACAUUGAAUGCCUAGAUAUGCCAACCAGGUAGUGAUUUAGUUUGAGGAUGAGCUUUUUGGGUUGCGGAUUUUGAUAGGUGCCCAAGCUUGAAAAGAUUGUGGUGAACUGCGGGCUGGGUGUGGAUGCGGGGAACUCCAAGGGGCUGGAUGCCGCCAUGAAGGACCUCGCCUCGAUCACUGGCCAGUGGCCCGUCAAGACCAAGGCCAAGAACUCCGUCGCCAGCUUCAAGAUCCGCGAGGGCAACACCAUUGGUAUAGCCGUCACGCUCCGCGGCAGGGUGAGCCCUCUGUGUCAUGCUAUUCUUAUCCCAGUUUGAAAUGCACUAGGAAUGCACACAUCGACUGAUUGGCAUAUGAAAUUUCUGGCAAUUUGGAAUCUUGCAUUCGAGGAUAACCGGUAGCAUCAGCGAAAACAUUGAGACUGUACGAUUGAUGAGCUCAGUUUCACUGCUGUAGGUGAUGUUCAACUUCCUGGAUAGGCUCAUCAACCUUGGGCUCCCUAGGACCAUGGAUUUCUUAGGUGUCAACCCCAACAGCUUCGACGGGCAUGGCAACUACACCAUCGGCCUCCGCGAUCAGGGUGUGUUCCCGGAGAUCCCAUAUGAGGUCGGUGGCAAGAAGAACGGAAUGGAUGUCACCAUCGUCACCACCGCCAAGACCGACAAUGAGGCCCUCAGACUGCUCACGCUCCUCGGCAUGCCGUACGCGGAACACAUGAAGUCUGAUCAGUUCAAGAAGAAGAGGUUGAAGCGCCACCACUUCAUGAGCAAA